rnacentral:rRNA from 1 species
CUACGUGCCAGCAGCCGCGGUAAUACGGAAGGUCCAGGCGUUAUCCGGAUUUAUUGGGUUUAAAGGGAGCGUAGGCUGGAGAUUAAGUGUGUUGUGAAAUGUAGACGCUCAACGUCUGAAUUGCAGCGCAUACUGGUUUCCUUGAGUACGCACAACGUUGGCGGAAUUCGUCGUGUAGCGGUGAAAUGCUUAGAUAUGACGAAGAACUCCGAUUGCGAAGGCAGCUGACGGGAGCGCAACUGACGCUUAAGCUCGAAGGUGCGGGUAUCGAACAGGAUUAGAUACCCUGGUAGUCCGCACAGUAAACGAUGGAUGCUCGCUGUUGGCCUUUUUGGUCAGUGGCUUAGCGAAAGCGUUAAGCAUCCCACCUGGGGAGUACGCCGGCAACGGUGAAACUCAAAGGAAUUGACGGGGGCCCGCACAAGCGGAGGAACAUGUGGUUUAAUUCGAUGAUACGCGAGGAACCUUACCCGGGCUUGAAUUGCAGACGACGUAUUUAGAGAUAGAUAUUCA